GCAGGAGUCUCCUCCAUCGACAGCCACAGCUCUGAGCACCAGCACAAGGGAGCAGUGAUGCAGAUGAUUGAACAAUCCCCUCUUGUGAUGUGCUCAGGGUUUCUGUUGCUGACACUGUCACCUGCUGGCCACGGAGAAACUCGCCAGGAUCUCGGGAACAGCCUCAGAAACCCAUGGAUUAA
rnacentral:lncRNA from 12 species